rnacentral:rRNA from 1 species
GACAGGUGGUGCAUGGUUGUCGUCAGCUCGUGUCGUGAGAUGUUGGGUUAAGUCCCGCAACGAGCGCAACCCCUACGUUUAGUUGCUAACGCGUGAAGGCGAGCACUCUAGACGAACUGCCGUUGACAAAACGGAGGAAGGUGGGAUGACGUCAAAUCAUCAUGCCCCUUAUGUUCUGGGCUACACACGUGCUACAAUGGCCGGUACAGACGGACGCAAAGCCGCGAGGCGGAGCAAAUCCGAAAAAGCCGGUCUCAGUUCGGAUUGCAGGCUGCAAUUCGCCUGCAUGAAGUCGGAAUCGCUAGUAAUCGCAGGUCAGCAUACUGCGGUGAAUACGUUCCCGGGCCUU